rnacentral:rRNA from 1 species
UACGUAGGGGGCAAGCGUUGUCCGGAAUUAUUGGGCGUAAAGAGCGCGUAGGCGGUCCGGUAAGUCAGCUGUGAAAGUCAAGGGCUCAACCCUUGAAUGCCGGUUGAUACUGUCGGGCUAGAGUCCGGAAGAGGCGAGUGGAAUUCCCGGUGUAGCGGUGAAAUGCGCAGAUAUCGGGAGGAACACCAAUGGCGAAGGCAGCUCGCUGGGACGGUACUGACGCUGAGACGCGAAAGCGUGGGGAGCAAACAGG